rnacentral:rRNA from 1 species
UACGUAGGGGGCCAGCGUUGUCCGGAUUCAUUGGGCGUAAAGCGCGUGUAGGCGGCCAGGUAGGUCCGAUGUGAAAUCUGGAGGCUCGACCUCCAGCGGUCAUUGGAAACCAUCUGGCUAGAGUCCGGAAGAGGAGAGUGGAAUUCCUGGUGUAGCGGUGAAAUGCGCAGAUAUCAGGAAGAACACCAAUGGCGAAGGCAGCUCUCUGGGACGGUACUGACGCUGAGACGCGAAAGCGUGGGGAGCGAACAGG